UUGAAAGGGAAACGAUUGAAGUCAGUCGUACCGCGAAAAAUCAACCUUUUAAGUAUGAUCUUGUUGGCGUUUGAGAGCUUAACAGUCUCUACGUUUUCAAGUUUGUUUUUUUUUGGCGUACUUUUUCGUAUGGUAGGUCAACGUCAAUUUCUGUCGUUAUAAAUGACUGGAGUAAUGUAGCUUCGAUCUCGUAUUGAAGUAUUAUAGACUCUGGUAGAUGUAAUGAACGGGAUUGAGGAUUGCAACGAAUACCUUUUAGGCUAUUCGUCUGAUCUCUAAUUGUUGCCUUGGUACCGAAAGCUUGCUUAUGGUUAUUGAGGUGGAUGGUUAAAAGGUAGAACGGAUUAAAUUCGUUAAGGA
rnacentral:rRNA from 1 species